CUGGGAGUAGCUUACACUAAAGCACUUAACUUACUAUUAAAACACGUCCACUAUGGACCUCCCUGA
rnacentral:tRNA from 1 species